AAAGAUGAAAACUUCCUUAGCUCUUUCAAAUCAGGACAUCUGAAACUGUACUUCUUUGUGUUCCUUUUUCCACAAUCCAUUGGUCUGAAAAUAUUUGCAAAUAAGACUUCAAUUCCUUGAUAUUUAUUUUUCUACGAUGAAUGUCAUGAUGCACAUGUAUGCAUGAAUGCAACAAUCACAAACAAGGGAUCACACACAAGGCUAAAACAAAUAAAGAUCAAGGGAUGGAUCAAGUCAUUAUCAAGAUUAAUCAUCAAUUUUGGUGGAUUAUGG
rnacentral:lncRNA from 1 species